AACGAACGCUGGCGGCGUGGAUAAGACAUGCAAGUCGAACGAGAGAAUUGCUAGCUUGCUAAUAAUUCUCUAGUGGCGCACGGGUGAGUAACACGUGAGUAACCUGCCCCCGAGAGCGGGAUAGCCCUGGGAAACUGGGAUUAAUACCGCAUAGUAUCGAAAGAUUAAAGCAGCAAUGCGCUUGGGGAUGGGCUCGCGGCCCAUUAGUUAGUUGGUGAGGUAACGGCUCACCAAGGCGAUGACGGGUAGCCGGUCUGAGAGGAUGUCCGGCCACACUGGAACUGAGACACGGUCCAGACACCUACGGGUGGCAGCAGUCGAGAAUCAUUCACAAUGGGGGAAACCCUGAUGGUGCGACGCCGCGUGGGGGAAUGAAGGUCUUCGGAUUGUAAACCCCUGUCAUGUGGGAGCAAA
rnacentral:rRNA from 1 species